AGAGUUCGAUCCUGGCUCAGGAUGAACGCUGGCGGCGCGCCUAACACAUGCAAGUCGAACGGCACCCCUCUCCGGAGGGAAGCGAGUGGCGAACGGCUGAGUAACACGUGGAGAACCUGCCCCCUCCCCCGGGAUAGCCGCCCGAAAGGACGGGUAAUACCGGAUACCCCGGGGUGCCGCAUGGCACCCCGGCUAAAGCCCCGACGGGAGGGGAUGGCUCCGCGGCCCAUCAGGUAGACGGCGGGGUGACGGCCCACCGUGCCGACAACGGGUAGCCGGGUUGAGAGACCGACCGGCCAGAUUGGGACUGAGACACGGCCCAGACUCCUACGGGAGGCAGCAGUGGGGAAUCUUGCGCAAUGGGGGGAACCCUGACGCAGCGACGCCGCGUGCGGGACGGAGGCCUUCGGGUCGUAAACCGCUUUCAGCAGGGAAGAGUCAAGACUGUACCUGCAGAAGAAGCCCCGGCUAACUACGUGCCAGCAGCCGCGGUAAUACGUAGGGGGCGAGCGUUAUCCGGAUUCAUUGGGCGUAAAGCGCGCGUAGGCGGCCCGGCAGGCCGGGGGUCGAAGCGGGGGGCUCAACCCCCCGAAGCCCCCGGAACCUCCGCGGCUUGGGUCCGGUAGGGGAGGGUGGAACACCCGGUGUAGCGGUGGAAUGCGCAGAUAUCGGGUGGAACACCGGUGGCGAAGGCGGCGACGCUGAGGCGCGAAAGCUGGGGGAGCGAACAGGAUUAGAUACCCUGGUAGUCCCAGCCGUAAACGAUGGACGCUAGGUGUGGGGGGACGAUCCCCCCGUGCCGCAGCCAACGCAUUAAGCGUCCCGCCUGGGGAGUACGGCCGCAAGGCUAAAACUCAAAGGAAUUGACGGGGGCCCGCACAAGCAGCGGAGCAUGUGGCUUAAUUCGAAGCAACGCGAAGAACCUUA
rnacentral:rRNA from 1 species